rnacentral:rRNA from 1 species
UACAGAGGGGGCAAGCGUUAUUCGGAAUUAUUGGGCGUAAAGGGCGCGUAGGCGGCCUGGCAAGUGGAAGGUGAAAUCCCUCGGCUUAACCGAGGAACUGCCCUCCAAACUGCUUGGCUUGAGUUCGGGAGAGGUGAGUGGAACUGCGAGUGUAGAGGUGAAAUUCGUAGAUAUUCGCAAGAACACCAGUGGCGAAGGCGGCUCACUGGCCCGAUACUGACGCUGAGGCACGAAAGCGUGGGGGAGCAAACAGG